UACGUAGGGGGCAAGCGUUAUCCGGAAUCACUGGGCGUAAAGGGUGCGUAGGCGGCCGAGAAAGUCCGGGGUGAAAGGCUACGGCUCAACCGUAGUAAGCCUUGGAAACUUCUUGGCUUGAGUGCAGGAGAGGUAAGUGGAAUUCCUAGUGUAGCGGUGAAAUGCGUAGAUAUUAGGAGGAACACCAGUGGCGAAGGCGACUUACUGGACUGUAACUGACGCUGAGGCACGAAAGCGUGGGGAGCGAACAGGAUUAGAUACCCUGGUAGUCCACGCCGUAAACGAUGAGUGCUAGGUGUUGGAGCCGACAGGCUUCGGUGCCGCAGCUAACGCAUUAGGCACUCCGCCUGGGGAGUACGCUCGCAAGAGUGAA
rnacentral:rRNA from 1 species